rnacentral:rRNA from 1 species
UACGUAGGAUGCAAGCGUUGUCCGGAUUUAUUGGGCGUAAAGAGCUCGUAGGCGGCUCGUUGCGUCGGCUGUGAAAACCCACAGCUUAACUGUGGGCCUGCAGCCGAUACGGGCGAGCUAGAGUUCGGUAGGGGAGACUGGAAUUCCUGGUGUAGCGGUGAAAUGCGCAGAUAUCAGGAAGAACACCCGUGGCGAAGGCGGCUCUCUGGGACGGUACUGACGCUGAGACGCGAAAGCGUGGGGAGCGAACAGG